rnacentral:rRNA from 1 species
AGAGUUUGAUCCUGGCUCAGGAUGAACGCUAGCUACAGGCUUAACACAUGCAAGUCGAGGGGCAGCAGUGGUCUUAGCUUGCUAAGGCCGAUGGCGACCGGCGCACGGGUGAGUAACACGUAUCCAACCUGCCGUCUACUCUUGGACAGCCUUCUGAAAGGAAGAUUAAUACAAGAUGGCAUCAUGAGUUCACAUGUUCACAUGAUUAAAGGUUUUCCGGUAGACGAUGGGGAUGCGUUCCAUUAGAUAGUAGGCGGGGUAACGGCCCACCUAGUCUUCGAUGGAUAGGGGUUCUGAGAGGAAGGUCCCCCACCAUUGGAACUGAGACACGGUCCAAACUCCUACGAGAGGCAGCA